AGCAGCCGCGGUAAUUCCAGCUCCAAUAGCGUAUAUUAAAGUUGUUGCAGUUAAAAAGCUCGUAGUUGAAUUUUGGAUUCGGCCAAUUGGUCCAUCUUUUAGAUGAGUACUGAUUGUGUUGGGUCUAUCCGCCUGGUGAUACGUAAUGUCCUUUAUUGGGUGUUGCGGGGUAGUCAGGACCUUUACCUUGAAAAAAUUAGAGUGUUUAAAGCAGGCUUAUGCCGGAAUACAUUAGCAUGGAAUAAUAGAAUAGGACGAAGUUGUUUUAUUUGUUGGUUUCUAGGACAACCGUAAUGAUUAAUAGGGAUAGUUGGGGGCAUUAGUAUUCAAUUGUCAGAGGUGAAAUUCUUGGAUUUAUUGAGGACUAACUACUGCGAAAGCAUUUGCCAAGGAUGUUUUCAUUAAUCAAGAACGAAAGUUAGGGGAUCGAAGACGAUCAGAUACCGUCGUAGUCUUAACCAUAAACUAUGCCGACUAGGGAUCGGGCGAUGUUGUUUCCAUUGACUUCGCUCGGCACCUU
rnacentral:rRNA from 1 species